CACGUAGGGCGCAAGCGUUGUCCGGAAUUAUUGGGCGUAAAGAGCUCGUAGGCGGUCUGUUGCGUCCGCUGUGAAAACUCGGGGCUUAACCCCGAGCCUGCAGUGGAUACGGGCAGACUAGAGGUAGGUAGGGGAGAAUGGAAUUCCCGGUGUAGCGGUGAAAUGCGCAGAUAUCAGGAGGAACACCGGUGGUGUAGACGGCUCUCUGGACCGUAACUGACGCUGAGACACGAAAGCGUGGGAGCGAACGGG
rnacentral:rRNA from 1 species